ACAGCAAAAAUUAUUGUAAUCUGCCUCGAUGUAAUGCGCCCGAUGUAUUAAAAAACCUAUGUAAUCGCUUUUUCCAGAUACACAAUUACACUGGUUUUGCGCAGAAUCACAUCUGUCUGAACUUUACACAAAAAACAAAUAACUAUUCUCAUUUCCGUUGUAUCUGUGUAAUAUUCUCAUCGAGAAAAUGUGAAUAUUACACAGAAACAGAUGCAACCAACUGGUUACAACAAACGAUGUAUACGAUUACACAAAAUCGAUGUCAUAUCGCAUCCGCUGUGAUACGAUAAUCAGUCUCGCAACACUGUACCGCUUUUGUUGUGAUAGAAAUCUCGUUCGCCAUCAAGCUGCCAUAUUGUUUUUAUCCAUCGCAUCGCAGCUGUUGUUUCGGUUGUUUCUCUACUUUUGGCGAAUUACGGUACCACCGAGUCUGGGUGCUGCGUCCCAGACCGAGCGGAGGAGUGGUUAAAAAUUUGAGGCGGAAUGGAGGGAAAGUUAUUGAUGAGGGCAUCGGGUCCCGUUUCACCAGCAAAUCCGUCGAGUCCGACGAACGAUAUCCCGGUGCGAGGGAGAAGUCACUUGUGGUUGAUUCUACCAGCCGCAACAGUGUCGACCGCCGUAAUUAUUUGAGCAACCUGAACAAAUGUAGGCAGCGCGACGCCAACAUGUCCGGAUCCUCCUUCACCGACACCGCAGCAACUGCAACAGAACCAGAAGUGCUGAGUCUCCAACGCCGUAUAUCCACUAUAGAAGAUGUUCGAAUAAUGUUGCAAAUCGAGAAAGCCCUGGCUGCAGGGCCGGCCAGGCUACCCGUUCCGGGAUGCACCGAACUCUGAUCAGCAUUACUUUUGACAAAACAGCAAAAAGAAUGACGGUGCCGCUGUCUUCAAGCGGUACUUUAUUCACCGCUGCCGUCAGAAUGGUCGCCCAGCAACUUUGUGCCCGCAGAACCAACUUUAAUUAUUAUAUAAUAAUCAUUCUUAUAAGUAAAUUAAAUUUUAUAAAAAAAAUCUACAAUACAAAUAAAAUUUCCCUUUAGAAUAUACUUUUUCUGAUUUUCCUCCUGAAUAGCUGAUUAAUUUGUAUUUCAUCUUAUUUCGACUUAAAUUUUGUGUAUCUUCAAAACCCUAGUGGUUUUCAGCUACACAUUUUUUUUUUCGUCGAAAAAAGAUGAAAUUCAAUUUAAUCAUCCAUUCAGGAGAAUUGGCAAGCGUUUACAUCGUUUCCUUAGGUACAUUGCAAGGAUUACAUCGUACCGUGUACGUCGAAUAAAUUACAUCGCAAUAAUUACAUCGGAUCUGUUUAUUACAUCAACAGCCGUCGAGUACAUCGGGCUGUGUAAUAUUCAUCAAUCGAUGUAACGACCUGGUUGCAGCGAUUUCGAUGUAAUAUUCAACAACUUUUUUUGCUGUGUACUAUGCA